AAGCACUGCAAUGAGGCAGGGCCUUGCGAUAUCGCUAAACACGCUAAAACGCCGAAUAUUAGAAGCGUCAGGUGUGUGCUGGUAUAGCCAGAUGGCCACCGUCCCGCGCGCGCCUCCUUUCGGCAAGAAAGGGAAAGAGGUCCCCGAUUUCUCCUCAUUCCA
rnacentral:lncRNA from 1 species